UACGUAGGGUGCAGGCGUUAAUCGGAAUUACUGGGCGUAAAGCGUGCGCAGGCGGUUUCUUAAGUCAGAUGUGAAAGCCCCGGGCUUGACCUGGGAACUGCGUUUGAAACUGGGAGACUUGAGUGUGGCAGAGGGGGGUGGAAUUCCACGUGUAGCAGUGAAAUGCGUAGAUAUGUGGAGGAACACCGAUGGCGAAGGCAGCCCCCUGGGUUAACACUGACGCUCAUGCACGAAAGCGUGGGGAGCAAACAGG
rnacentral:rRNA from 1 species